AUGUUUGGAUUGGGACACAUUUUGAAAUGGUCCUUGAAUUUUUCCAAUGCUUCUAGAUAGCUUUAGAGAUCCCUUUGUUUGAAAGUAUAGAUUUCAUUUCUAAUCU
rnacentral:snoRNA from 1 species